rnacentral:rRNA from 1 species
AAAUUGACGGGACCCGCACAAGCGGUGGAUGAUGUGGAUUAAUUCGAUGCAACGCGAAGAACCUUACCUACCCUUGACAUGUCCGGAACUUGCCAGAGAUGGCUUGGUGCCCGAAAGGGAAUCGGAACACAGGUGCUGCAUGGCUGUCGUCAGCUCGUGUCGUGAGAUGUUGGGUUAAGUCCCGCAACGAGCGCAACCCUUAUCAUUAGUUGCUACGCAAGGGCACUCUAAUGAGACUGCCGGUGACAAACCGGAGGAAGGUGGGGGAUGACGUCAAGUCCUCAUGGCCCUUAUGGGUAGGGCUUCACACGUCAUACAAUGGUCGGUACAGAGGGUUGCCAAGCCGCGAGGCGGAGCCAAUCCCACAAAGCCGAUCGUAGUCCGGAUUGUUCUCUGCAACUCGAGAGCAUGAAGUCGGAAUCGCUAGUAAUCGCAGGUCAGCAUACUGCGGUGAAUACGUUCCCGGGUCUU